UACGUAGGGGGCAAGCGUUGUCCGGAUUUAUUGGGCGUAAAGAGCGUGUAGGCGGCCUUACAGGUCAGCUGUGAAAACUCGAGGCUCAACCUCGAGACGUCGGUUGAAACCGUAUGGCUAGAGUCCGGAAGAGGAGAGUGGAAUUCCCGGUGUAGCGGUGAAAUUCGUAGAUAUUCGCAAGAACACCAGUGGCGAAGGCGGCUCACUGGCCCGGUACUGACGCUGAGGUGCGAAAGCGUGGGGAGCAAACAGG
rnacentral:rRNA from 1 species